GACAAAGACCAUGCUGGGGCCGCACUGAAGUCAGGACAGGAAGGCUGGUCAGGAAGAGAGUGAAAUGGCCUGAAGAGAGAGGACGAGGAUGGGAGAGUGACAGCGGGACAGAGGCGCCGGGACCUGAAGGAUCCUUCAGUGAACCCUCUCAGGACCCACCGCGCCCGGUGUGCCACACGAGGCCGAUGUUUCACUAACCCACAUCGGGGGAGCCAAAUCGCCCCCUGCCUAGGGCCCCAGCCUCGAGAGGAAGCUGUCAUCACUGUUCCAGGACUCUCCUUGGAUUUGCAUUUCCUGACUUGGGUGAAAUACUCUUCCAGCGGAAGAACUGAA